ensembl:lncRNA
CUAGAUCUCAGUGAGCCACAUGUGACCUGGUGAACUUUGCAAUCAUUUCCUAUGCAGAUUUUCAGAUUAGAGAUUUGGUUAGUCGAUCUGGUAGGGUAUUUUGUCAGAGCAACCACUAUGCUUGUAUUCUGGAAUUAGUUGCGCCCUUCUAUUCUAGAAUCAGUCAUUCCCAGAAGUCCUCCCACCUGGAGAGCCAAGUGAAAACAAGCCCAGACAAGACUUAUUGGACUCGUGCUUUCAGCCUUUCUGAAGUCUGAGUCAGAGGAUUUGGGGGCAUAUACCACCCAGGCCACGUCCGCAAAGAGCAGACAGUCACAGAGGGAUGCAGAGCAUACAAACGGCUGCUCUAAAGCCCGGCCAUCAAUAUGGAUUACUGCACAGCUGAUGGCGUCCAAGGAGAACCGCAUCAAUUUAGCAACGGGCAGUGAUGAACAGUGUGAGCUCUGCUGUCGUCCAUCUUGCACACGCCUAGAGAUGGGCAAACCUGCUACUUGAAAAAUAGUGGGGUACACAACCUAGGCAGCUCCCCAACAGCACACAGAAUCCUCUGUCCUAGUCUGUUCUACUGUGGCUCUGUGAAAGGGUCUGGACAAGGCUCGGAUCAUUACUGCACCCCUUUGGAAAGGAAUAUGGCUGAGCAGACUGAGCUCAGCAAGGGCCAGCCUCUAUUGACAAGUCCUGAACCUUAUUGCGCUCUGUCCUUCACCUUCCCAUCCCCCACCGCUGCUGUGGUGCUGACAAUAAAAAACGAUGCCCUGG